ensembl:lncRNA
AUGAAGGAGAAAAGGAGUGAGAAGGAGGCAAAAAAGAGCGGGUCAGCGGCAGGUACAUCAAAGAAGUGGAAGUUCUUUGUGGUCCUGUCCUUCCUCGACCCAUUCGUCACCCCGAGGGAGACCACUAGCAACCUUCCUCGGGUGGCAGAGGAUGAGAUCGAGGAUGACGGGGCUGCAGAGACUUCGCUGUCUGGGGCAGGAGAGGCAUAUGAGGAGUGCGAUGAGGCAGCAGGGCUAUCGCACAAUGCAGAUCAGCCGUCAGUGAGUGACUCUGACACUGACGAUGCCUCUGCUGCCCCUGUCCCUGCCGCUGACCCUGCCGCUGACCCAAGACCACCGGGCGGGACGAAGAGGAAGAAUGCCAGGAGGGUACCGUGCGGGAGCACCCCAAUACAAGAGGCCAUCCUCCAGGCCCUGCAUAUGGAGGCUGCCCAGACCCCCCCACCACCCCCCCCACCCCAGCUCUCGGAGGACGCAUUCUUCCUCCAGAGCAUACUUCCUUCCCUGGAGAGAUUGCCACGCCAAGCUUGUGCUGAGUUGAAAUUUGAAAUUCACAAGCUCGUAGUUGAAGCCACAAGACGCACUAAUUUGGAACCCAUAUAAUUAUUAAAUAUGCUCAUGCUUAUUUGCAACAGUGGUGGUGACAAUCUCUCCAGGGAACGAAUUGGGCUGCUGUGACUAAAAAAUAAGCUGUUUGUGAGAAAGGUAGUUAGUGAGGUAAAUCCUUUCUCACAAACAGCUUAUUUUUUAGGAAGAUGUUAAUGUUCUUGUUCUUGUGUUCUGUUUUAAAUUUAUAAUAUAUUGUUCUAUGUUGUUUUGUUAGUCGUUUUGUACAUAAAAUAUUUUUAAUAACUCUUCUGAGUGAUUUUAAGAUCUAGCAUGCACGGACACAAAUACACAUACAUUUUGCUACUUCAUAUAACAAUUUUAAUAACAACUUAAUAAUAAUGAAGGAAUUGCCGCUUUGUUUUGUGUGGGUGGCUCUUAAAAGAGCCGUUUUGGGGUUGCUUGUGCACUGCACUAAAUGUCGUCCUGCCACGAGACGGUUCCUUCUUCAGAGAAGUAGGAGGUGAAGGUCUCGCGGAUCCGAAUGGCCUCUCUCCCGGCGUUGUUGGCAGCCACUCUCCCCAGCCUUGGCAGAGGCUCCACCGCACCACCCGGGAUGCACUCCCUCACUGCUGCUGUUGGUGCUGUUCUGCGGAGGAAAUUGUGGAGCACACAGGUGGCCUUGAUGCAUCUCUCUGCCAGCUCAGGACGGACCUCGAUGACCCUCCGGUAGAUCCGCCACUGAGAGGAGAGGAUACCAAAUGCGUCCUCCACCACCAACCGAGCCCGGGACAGACGGUAGUUAAAGACGCGCCGCUCUGGUGGGAGGACGCGUCCGGGGAAUGGCCUCAUGAGGUUGGUCCGUAGCGGAAAGGCCUCGUCCGCUACAAACACAUGAGGCAGGGGUCCUCUGUGCUCAGCCCCCGGCAGUGCUCUGUCAGCAGGGAGCUGGAGAUCGCCAGCGUGGAGGGCCUGACCAAACGCAGAGUUGGCCAGAAUUCCUCCAUCACUGGUUCUCCCGUAGCCCCCCACAUCGAUGACCCGGAAGCAGUAGUCUGCGUCGACAACUGCCAAGAGAACGAUGGAAAACGUUCCCUUGUAGUUGAAGAACUGCGAACCGGAGUUCGCAGGGGCCUUCAGAACUACAUGCUUCCCAUCGAUGGCACCACAGCAGAGAGGGAAGUUCCACCGCUCCUCGAACCGCUCUGCAACCACUCUCCACUCCUCUGCAGUGGGCACAGCCAUGAACUCCUCCACCAGGCAGUCCCAAAUAGCCGUGACCACAUCCGAGACGAUGGAAGCCACGGUGGAGGACCCGACCCGGAAGCUGUUGGCGAUCGUCCGGAACGAAUCACCACUAGCCAGGAAUCUGCAACACAUGAAUUAUUUAUUUUAGCCUUAUUGAUAAUUUCAGUUGUAUAGCAAAUCUGUAGGCCAAUUAUCU